rnacentral:rRNA from 1 species
UACGUAGGGUGCGAGCGUUGUCCGGAAUUAUUGGGCGUAAAGAGCUCGUAGGCGGUCUGUCGCGUCGAUCGUGAAAACUUGGGGCUUAACCCUGAGCUUGCGGUCGAUACGGGCAUGACUGGAGUUCGGCAGGGGAGACUGGAAUUCCUGGUGUAGCGGUGAAAUGCGCAGAUAUCAGGAGGAACACCAGUGGCGAAGGCGGGUCUCUGGGCCGAUACUGACGCUGAGGAGCGAAAGCGUGGGGAGCGAACAGG